UACAGAGGGGGCAAGCGUUGUUCGGAAUUACUGGGCGUAAAGGGCGCGUAGGCGGCCUGCUAAGUCGAACGUGAAAUCCCCGGGCUCAACCCGGGAACUGCGUCCGAUACUGGCAGGCUUGAAUCCGGGAGAGGGAUGUGGAAUUCCAGGUGUAGCGGUGAAAUGCGUAGAUAUCUGGAGGAACACCGGUGGCGAAGGCGGCAUCCUGGACCGGUAUUGACGCUGAGGCGCGACAGCGUGGGGAGCAAACAGG
rnacentral:rRNA from 1 species